UGCCCAAUUACACUGUAAACAGUUUUGGCAAAUUGAGCGUUCACAAACUCUUAUAGAGUUUUGGAAGUGUGAAUCUUUGAAGCCUGAAUGUUCAGCAAAACUGCCUUGAAAAUAAAAAGGCUGCGAUUUGCAGCCACCUCUCUGGGCCCUGGUGAUAAGAGUGCCUUCAUGGGAAGUGAUAACUUGCCCUGAUACCGUGUGAGCCAGCACUAUUGAACAGUGUGCUCAUCCAUGCAGAGUUGGAAUACACAUCUGUGCCUCAUUGAUAUGCCACUGCUUAAAAAAAAAAAAAAAAAAAGAAAAAAGAAAAAAAAAAAGUAAGAUCUUCACUGUUCUACUUAUUCAGUGGGAAAAAAAAGAUUUGGCCAGCUAAAGCCAUGUACUGCAUGAAACAGCACAGUACGUGGGGGAAGGCUCCAUUGACUAGAUCACUGAAAUUUGAGAAUACUAUCUGGUUACUGAUGCUCCACAAUUAUUUUAUUUAUUUAUUUAUUUUGGGGAGAGCACGUCUUAAAAAGUCUGUACUGCUUGGUUUUAUGGGUGCAGCUGAAAAGAUUAAAAUAUAAGGGUGAUUUUUUUUUUUUUUGUUAAAAUGUGAUGGUUUUGACUUCUGUGAUGCACGUUACACGGAUAUUAUUAAGUGCUGAUGGUCAUCAGGAAUGGAGGGGUAGGCAGCAUCAGUUUGAAACAACUGAUGCUUUGAUGUUUCAAAAAUAAAUAAUAUCAUAGGUCCAGAAAGUGUUCUUCCUGUCCCUUGGGGAAAAAGUUAGUUGGUGCAAAUUACUUUGUGGUUAGAUUGUCUUAAAAAGUUACAUGUGUCUGAUGGUAUAAACUUGAAGCCUACCUCUCACUGAUAUAACAGAUUUUAAAGUAGAUUUGAAUCCAGUGAUGAGUUUUGAAAUGCAGAUGAAUAGACCUUGUUUAAAGUUCAGUGUUUUGAAAUGAGCUUGUGACACACAUCCAAAUAUUACAGUGUUUUUUAACUCUGUCAUAUGCUCAGGUGGUUUGGCUUUUUAAAAUCAUUUUGAAAAUAAAAGUGUCCGAAUUUCCUUCUUGGAUGGAUGCAUGCUUAGAAGAACUUUUACCUGUUAGAGUUUUGGAAGUACUUUUUCAAAUGCAUCGCAUGACUUUUAGAUACUCAGCUGAUGAAAAUACACAUAUAUCAUCCUGAACUUUCGUGCGUACUUUGUUGUGUCUGUGAAAUGUGUGUUCUGCACAAAGGAACUCCUGUGGCAUUUCAGAAGUCGUAUGUGAACCCCGAACACUACCUCUAGGUAUAUAUGGAGUUGUCAGCACUGUAUACCUGGGGGGUUUUAAAAAUCUGAUAUCAUGGUAUUGAUUAUGUUGUCCAUUCUAUUUUAAAAGAAAUUUCUCAUAUUUGUUCUGGGUUUCCUAUGUUUUGAAGUAUGACAUAAAUGGCUUUAUUCUUCAUGUCAGACAUGCAGCAAGAUGGCAGUGCUUCUUUUACAUCUUCUGCAGAAAAUGGGGUGUCUAGCACACAGCUAGAGUGGCUUGUACAGCAUGGCUGUAAGGGCUGUAACAGGAAUACUAAUGGAUACCCAUCACUGCUUUUACUGGGGAUGAGGGAACAAGUGGUGCAGCCCUCAUAGAGAAGUUAGUUUAAUGUUCUUGAUCAUUUCCUGAGGAUUUAACUUAAAAUAAAUGCUAUGACAAGCCCUUGAUAAAAAUCCCAUUUACGUUCUCAGCUCAAAGACACAGUUUAGGAAAAAACUUAUGAAACGUGGAGUUUCUUACUUAUAGUUAACUUUAUUGCCUCGAAGGCGAGGAUUCUCCAACUUUUCCAACUAGGGAUCACAUGUUAACAGAGAGACUAUCUUGUGUACCACCUCCCCUGCCAAUCAAUAUCCCAUUUGUCAUCAGACACUAUCCCUGUGGCAGCAACUGCAAUUGCUUACAUGGAAAAGUAUUAUUAGGAGGUAGGUUGGUUUUUUCUUUAACAGUCUAAUGUGAUACGGCCUUGGCAAUAGGAAAAAAAACAAAAAACUGAGCAUCUUUUUGCUGUGCCUUUCAAAUGCUGUUGUGUCAGCUCUGCUCCUUUGUCCCAUGUGCAAUCCCCUUCCUCUGGCUCCUUGUCUGGCUCGUUUCCCUGCAGGUUUCUCUCCCACCUGCUCUGGUACCUACUGGAGUUGCUUCAGAGGAUCGUCUGUGUCUCAUCUCAUCAGUGGGUCUGUUUGUCAGGAUGGCACUUGGUCUUCCUCCCUACCUCUCUUUAGGAAGUAAAUCCUAACACAGACAAAUAACAGCUUGUGCUUCUGCCUCAGUCCCAGCUUCUUCCAUAAAGGUCUGAGCUUCUUCCCCCAAGUGUCUGUCUGUCAGACAGAGAAACCUGGAAACAAAAAGGGUGAGUCAACACCGUGCGACCUGCCAGCUCACCACAGACCACUAAAUGGUUUGUAAAGCGAAGUUUGCAGAAGAAAUAACUGCAGGCUGAUAGCUAGAAAAGCCCUGAAGGGCUGGCGAUGAUGAUCUUGGGGUUUUGCAAAUGCUCCCCUAGGUGUUGGUGCAUACCAGAAAGAUGAGAAACAAGAAAUGCUGGCAGCUCUCAGAGCUGUAAUGAAAAGUCUUGAUAUUUGUUUUUUUAUUUUUAUUUUUUCUGAAAAUGCAAGCUUUAGGAACCAGGAGGUCAUAUGGCCCUCUGUAGCUUAAAGGUCCUGGAAACAGACCAUAAAGGAGAAGAACCACAGAUGAACUGGAUGUGUAUUUAAAAUACUCCUUUAGGCAAAUCUCUUCCUUGAUGUUGUACUGCUCGGGGGUGUAACACUGGAAAGCCUCGGGCAAGUAGGAGUCUCUGCUGGCCUUAUUCAACAGGUGAAGCAGGUGCUGCGUUUGUAUCACUGUAUGGAAAAGGCCUAGUGCUGAAUUGCCCCCAAAAUGUUUGCAGGAUCUUGUUUCCCUAUUGGUGUAUGAGUGCGUUUUGUACUGCGAUUUCCAGCUUUGUCUCCGCAUGCACCAAAAGCACACAAAGUCCAAAGCAGCACAGGACUGGGAGACUCACCUCACGGAUUAAUCAUUGCCUUGAAAUUAAAUUGAAGGAGGAGGUGAGCAUGGUUUGUUUGUCCCCGUUGUGUCUGCUGGGGCCUGGACCAUCCUUUCCUUCUCCACUGUGCUUGGCCGAGUUCUUGAUGAGACUUGUACUGGGAAGAAAGCUCUCUCCCUUCCUUCUCAUCCUCCUCCAGCCCAAAACUGGGGGUGGUUCUUUUCCAGUGGGGAGACUCUUUGCCACCUGGCAGCUCUUCAUUCUCCGAGUUUGAUUCCUUUUUGUUGCUCGGCCAGGAGGGAUUGUUCCAGGCUGCAGCUUGAAUCUCUCUUCUGGCUACAUCCGUUUGAUGGAAGAGACUUUGUCUUCUGCUCCCAUCCAUCAAGGCAUUAAAGCAGAUGGGAAUUUCCUUACUAUGGACUAGGAGGAAGACCAGAAACAUGCAGUAGCUACCCCUUGGACGAUGCAGGCUUUGGGAAACGUGGAAGAAUCCAUAGUUUCUACCCAAAGGGAACCAGCUGGAGAUGGAGUCUGCUGGUACAUCGCAAAACCGGGAGGGCAAUCAGUGUUUCAGUGUCUUGAACUCGGUCGAAUAAGCCCGUGGCACGUUUGCUCUCACCGUCUGGAGGCAAGUCGGAGUUGGGUGCCUAGCAGGGGGGUUUGCAGCGCACACCGUACGAAAUUCAGCGGGUUCAGAGGAAACGCAGCACAGAGGUUAAAGGAAGAGGAGGAAGUUGUGUGGUUGAGUAUAAAAAUGGCAAUUUAAUAGCAUUGAUUUCCCUUCUUGCUCUAUUAUAAUGGCUUGACACCAAAUGAUGACAGGGGUAGGAUUAUCUUGCUUUCUUCGGGAUUGUGCUUCCCCAUGUUGUGCCGAAGCUGUUAUGGACAAAAUAGUUUUGUCUCUACUUCGGUGACAGCGUCUUUCUCCAUUGUGAAUUCUUCUGUCAUUGUAUUUCGAGGUGUCUGUCAUCUUGAUAUCGAAGUGCCAAUUAAAACGCAGAAUUAUCGCAUAAUACAAUUAAAAUAAAAAACAAGCCCAGUUUACAAAUCUCUAAUCUAAAGUUAGCUCUUUUUCGGUCACUAUUUCUUCACUAAUUACAAAAACAACCGUUUUAAAAAAAAUUGCAGCUAUCAGAUAUUUUGUUAUCUGACCACAGGGUAUGAAGUGUUUUUAAUUGUUUUUCUGAUUAGCUACAAGCUCCCAAAUUCAAGUAGAAGCAUAUUUGUGUUUUCUGUAUGAGAUCCUCUACCUUAGCAGUGGCUGAGCACGUUUGUGGUACCGUAUAAGGAUUAAUGAAAUAAAAAAAAAAAACACCCUCUGCUGCUGCUGAUUGACCACUGAUGGUAAAUGUAAUUGAAUUAGCAGUGCACUAAAAUAAAUGUAGACAAAAUAAAUAUAGACAAGAAAAUCUGGUGAAAGCUUCUGUAAUGUUUUAGAUUAAUAGGCAUACAGAAUUCUUCACAUUUUUUAUUACGUUGUCCCUAGAUGAAUUCAAAGUAAUUGGGGUGGUUAAUUUUAUUUACACAGAGCCGUUCACAGCGCAUUAAAUAAUAGAGAUAAUUGAACAAGAAUUGUCAAGUGUGUACUGAUAUCAGACAUAUUACAGAAGGGAAUGUGCAUAAAACUUCAUUUCUAUGCAGCCAUUGUUUAUGGUAAUUAAGUACACAGAUUUAUCCCUUGGUUGCCUUCCAAGCUUAUGGCAACUGCUAUUGUUGUGCUCCAUUAAUAUGUAAUCAGGAAAUAGUUUAAUUUUCUAAUCUGCAGUUUGAGAAUUCACUUUCUAACAACUCUUAAUUACUGCAUUGCCCUAAUGAUGCUCAUGGUUAGGAAAACUGAACCAAUAAACUCCGUGGAAGAAGCCAGAGGGGAUUAUACUUCCAGAGGUGGUGCUUACUUAAUAAACUUGUUAUGCCUUCACCAGAGGGAGCUCAGUGUCCUUCAAAAGCAUCUAAUUUUAUAUUUCCGAGUUGUACGUACCCAUGGUGUGAAGAGUUAACCUAC